rnacentral:rRNA from 1 species
AGAGUUAAACAGUACGUGAAAUUGUUGAUAGGGAAACGAUUGAAGUCAGUCAUGCCGGUGAGAAAUCAGCUUACAGGCUACUGUGGGUGCACUUUUUCGCAAGGCAGGUUAACAUCGGUUUCUGUUGCGUCAUAAUAAUUGUAGGAAGGUGGCUCCUUCGGGAGUGUUAUAGCCUACUUUAGAUGUCGCGACGGGGACUGAGGAUUGCAGCGGAUGCCUUUGGCUACGGGUCUUGUCUCUGUCGAUCUUUAAUUAGCUUUCAGCUUGUCUGAGAUCUGGUUGAUAGGUUUACAAUAGGUUUGAUUCCGUUAAAUUCGCUAAGGAUGUUGGCACAAAUGGUUUCAAUCGACC